rnacentral:rRNA from 1 species
AUGUUGUUGCAGUUAAAAAGCUCGUAGUUGGACUUUGGGAUGGGUUGGCCGGUCCGCCUUAGGUGUGCACCGGUCGUCUCGUCCCUUCUGCCGGUGAUGCGCUCCUGGACUUAAUUGGCCGGGUCGUGCCUCCGGCGCUGUUACUUUGAAGAAAUUAGAGUGCUCAAAGCAAGCCUACGCUCUGUAUACAUUAGCAUGGGAUAACAUUAUAGGAUUUCGUUCCUAUUACAUUAGCCUUCGGGAUCGGAGUAAUGAUUAACAGGGAAAGUCGGAGGUGAAAUUCUUGGAUUUAUGAAAGACGUACAACUGCGAAAGCAUUUUCCAAGGAUGUUUUCAUUAAUCAAGAAAGAAAGUUUGGGGCUCGAAGACGAUCAGAUACCGUCCUAGUCUCAACCAUAAACGAUGUCGACUAGGGAUCGACGGAUGUUGCUUUUAGGACUCCGCCGACACCUUAUGUGAAAUCAAAGUUUUUGGGUUCCG